rnacentral:rRNA from 1 species
GACCCCCCCGGGGCCCGAGUUGUAAUUUGUAGAGGGUGCUUCGGGCGCGAUGCCGGUCUAAGUUCCUUGGAACAGGACGUCGUAGAGGGUGAGAAUCCCGUAUGCGACCGGCGAUCAAGCCCGUGCGAAGCCCCUUCGACGAGUCGAGUUGUUUGGGAAUGCAGCUCAAAAUGGGUGGUAAAUUUCAUCUAAAGCUAAAUAUUGGCCAGAGACCGAUAGCGGACAAGUAGAGUGAUCGAAAGAUGAAAAGCACUUUGGAAAGAGAGUCAAACAGUACGUGAAAUUGUUGAAAGGGAAGCGCUUGCAAUCAGACCGGUCCGGAGGCGAUCAGCCGCUGCUCGUCAGCGGUGCACUCGCCUGCGAUCCGGCCAGCAUCGGUUUGGGCGGCGGGAUAAAAGUCCCGGGAAUGUAGCUUCCCCCGGGGAGUCUUAUAGCCCGGGUCGCAAUGCCGCCCGCCCGGACCGAGGACCGCGCUUCGGCUAGGAUGCUGGCGUAAUGGUUGCAAGCGACCCGUCUUGAAACACGGACCAAGGAGUCUAACAUCUAUGCGAGUGUUUGGGUGUCAAACCCAGGCGCGGAAUGAAAGUGAACGGAGGUGGGAACCCGUCAGACGGCGCACCAUCGACCGAUCCAGAUGUCUUCGGAUGGAUUUGAGUACGAGCAUAGCUGUUGGGACCCGAAAGAUGGUGAACUAUGCCCGGAUAGGGUGAAGCCAGAGGAAACUCUGGUGGAGGCUCGCAGCGGUUCUGACGUGCAAAUCGAUCGUCAAAUCUAGGCAUAGGGGCGAAAGACCAAUCGAACCAUCUAGUAGCUGGUUCCUGUCGAAGUUUCCCUCAGGAUAGCAGUAACGUUUUCAGUUUUAUGAGGUAAAGCG